rnacentral:rRNA from 1 species
UCAGAUGAGCCUAGGUCGGAUUAGCUAGUUGGUGGGGUAAUGGCUCACCAAGGCGACGAUCCGUAACUGGUCUGAGAGGAUGAUCAGUCACACUGGAACUGAGACACGGUCCAGACUCCUACGGGAGGCAGCAGUGGGGAAUAUUGGACAAUGGGCGAAAGCCUGAUCCAGCCAUGCCGCGUGUGUGAAGAAGGUCUUCGGAUUGUAAAGCACUUUAAGUUGGGAGGAAGGGCAGUAAGUUAAUACCUUGCUGUUUUGACGUUACCGACAGAAUAAGCACCGGCUAACUCUGUGCCAGCAGCCGCGGUAAUACAGAGGGUGCAAGCGUUAAUCGGAAUUACUGGGCGUAAAGCGCGCGUAGGUGGUUUGUUAAGUUGGAUGUGAAAGCCCCGGGCUCAACCUGGGAACUGCAUCCAAAACUGGCAAGCUAGAGUACGGUAGAGGGUGGUGGAAUUU